GAUAAAAAGAGAAUUGUGAGUUAAAUGUCAAAUAUCGAAAAAUGUUUGUCUCUUCGUUCGAGACGUUCGAAAACAGGAGAAUUUAAAGCAAAAUAUUUUGAAGCUAGCAAGUGGAAUAAAUUUUGUUUUAACUUUAUUUGUCUUAACUUUAUGUAUGAUCAAGCCAAAAUAAAUAAUAUAUCUUUUUUCAAUUUAAAUUCAGUCUGCUCGCUUUUUGUAUUCAGUAAUAAAAUAAAAUUAAGAUUACUUAAUAUUCAUGCUCUCCACAAACACAGUCGAAAUAAGUAUUGUUUAAUCGUUGCCAAAGGAUAGAAAGGCCAUCUAAUUUUAAGCGUGAAUAUUUUCUGUUUCGAUGUCCCGCCAAGUGUUUCGAAAUACGUGGAUGUAAUCAGUUGAUGUGCAAAUGACUGGGAAAUUUUGAUGUGUAAAAUCGAGAUAGCAGGUCGAUAGGAGGAUCAAUAAAAAUUAAUUCGUUCCGUUAUUCCUGAAAUCCGAUUGCAUCAAAUUAACGGACAUCACUUUUUACGGAACUCUUCUCUCGAUUUCAAAAUAUAAUUAUCGGAAAACAAUUAUUUUUUUUUCUAUCAUUUUACACGCAACGCAAACGCGGAUUAGCGUACUUGCACAAUGCUGACGCGGAUGCGGAACAUGAGUUACGAUUGCUUGUUGCGUGCAAUACAGCACUACGCAAAUCAGCUUGCUGGAUAUGCGUUUGCUGGAAACGAACAAUAGCCAGACGUGACUACACGAUAGUUGCGUAGCCACGCUACGCUCGUAAGAGAACACGUAAUGCCAUAAUAUAGGGAGGAAAGUAGUACGUUCAGACUGCUGCAAUGGUCGACGGAACAUCGAUUUUUUUUCCCCUAAGAAAAACUCAGUAGAAGAGUUCACGAGCGAGACUGGAACGAUCUCAUUGAGGCUUGAAAUCGCGAUCGAGAGUUCGCACCGCUUCUAAUAUCAGCCUUAUCAAUUUGUCUCAUUGAAUUCGUUGCGCAAUUUUUUUCAUUAUUUAAUGUCAUGUCUGUUCUUUCGUUUUAGCACCGAGCUGUCGCAACGUGUCAAUCUAUUACUGCAGAGAACCAAUUGGAAUGUGAAGCUUCACAAUUCAUAGAAAAAACUGAAAUGUGAAUAGUCUCACAGUCGUUCGUCGUGCAUCUUAAUUGAUGAUUCAAGAUGCUAAUGAUAGAAAAUCAUAAAAUGACUGUUUUCUCAACGGUGGUACAAUCAGCAGCUGUACACACUUUAAAGCUCUUAGUUGAAGAGUUUUAGGAAAGCAUACAAGCUCUUCCGGCACGAGUGUAAUAUUGAGAAUAAAAGAAUCCAAUAUACGGGAGACCUAACAGAA